GUCAUUCUGAGUGUUUAUGUGAACACAACGGAUGUAUUUUUCCUUUCCUUUCUGUAUUGUUACAAAUUUGACGAAGGAAUUUAGAAUAAAAGCCUAGAUUGUUCGAGCUCAAACCAUCAUCUGCCAUCAAAAUAUAAAAUCAGCCGGACAUACGCUCAAAAGCAGUGAUGAAACAAUUUUUGAUAGCUCUCAGCAUCGUUAUUAUUGCUGUCGGAUCCGAAGGAAAAGAUACGGAAGAGAUGCCAUUUGGUACAUCAUGUAAGUUCGGCUUGUGUAGCCUCAGUUGUAAAGCCAACGACUACGCUGAUGGUGGCUGUUGCGGGACGACAAAGUGGUGUGAAGAUAUUUGCUAUUGUUACGGGAGUGGGUUCGAAUAUCGCUGUGAUGCUUGCUACUAACAACAAACGGGGCAUCUUUUGGUUACAUCCAAGUGUACCAAAUAAGUGCCAUACCUGCCAAUUGUCGAUUUAUUGUCGUUCUGUAUCUGUAGGCAACAGCA